rnacentral:misc_RNA from 1 species
UCCGAGUUAACACCGGCAGUCUCGCUAGAGUGCCCAACUUAAUGCUGGCAACUAACGACAAGGGUUGCGCUCGUUGCGGGACUUAACCCAACAUCUCACGACACGAGCUGAGGACAGCCAUGCACCACCUGUGUAGGACCCCGAAGGACACCGUAUCUCUACGGCUUUUCCCUACAUGUCAAACCCAGGUAAGGUUCUUCGCGUUGCCUCGAAUUAAGCAACAUGCUCCGCCGCUUGUGCGAGCCCCCGUCAAUUCCUUUGAGUUUUAGCCUUGCGGCCGUACUCCCCAGGCGGGGCACUUAAUGCGUUAGCUACGGCACGGGAGGAGUCGACACCUCCCACACCUAGUGCCCAUCGUUCACGGCGUGGACUAC